GGAAGGAUCAUUCCUAGUCAGGUGUCGUGCGUGUGGGUGUAGGUGUGUCGAGGGUGUUCGCCCAAGGCAUGCAUGCUCCCGCGCGCGCGCACACCAUCCUAUCCAUCCCAUCCUGUGUUGUUGACCGCCUAGGUGUGCGCAUGUGGCGAGUCUGACUGGCGCUGUCAUGGGUGUUGGUCAUUCAAAGUCGGGGUAGACGAGGGUUUACCAACAUGCGCAUGCUGACGUGGAUUUUUUCAUUCAAACCCCAGACCCAAUGCUGACUGAAUGUGACUUUGUGUGUGAGUGUGUUUGCCAGUGGUGGUGGGGUUUCCCCGUCAUCAUCGGCAACAUCCUUGUGUAUCAAUAACAGUAUAUUAAAACAACUGUUGACAACGGAUCACUCGGCUCUCGUGUCGAUGAAGAGCGUAGCGAAUUGCGAAAACUAGUGCGAUUUGCAUCCAUCGUGAAUCAUCGAGUCCUUGAACGCAACUUGCACCGCAAGGGUCUUCCUUGCGGUCUGCUGUUUGAGUAUUGACUGACUCUACCCUCGGGCUCAUUGACGUGUGUGCUGCUUGCUUGCAUGCAUGUCGGUGGUAGGCUCGGAUCGUGACUGGCCACUUGAUGCGCGGGUGUCGCUUGCGACUCUCAGUGUGUGAGUGACCGGUUGAAAUGCAUUGGCCUUUAUGCCACUCCCGUGACGUGUCUCUGGUGCUUGACGUCAAGUGUCGUGUGCUUUGCCGGGCGUGUGUGUGUGUGUUAUCUAUCUCCAACUCAUGUUUUCCGUGAAUGCUUGGUCUUCCCGCGAGGGAGGGUCAUUCAUGCCUUGCUAGCAUGGGCGUGUGAGAGAGAGAGAGAGUACAUGCAUGUCCUUUAUGUGCGAGUCAUGGCAUGUCAAGCAUCACAACUAUACUCUCGGGGUGACAAUCUGUUUGUUUGUGAAAGCGAAUCAGGCCAGCAACGGCGAGGGUCGGGUGUGACGUGGCAUUCGUGUCGCGCCCACACCCACGCCCAACCCAACCCCCCCCCCAUUUAUCAAUGCAAUCUCAAAUCAGGCAGGAUGACCCGCUGAACUUAAGCAUAUCAAUAAGCGGAGGAAAAGAAACCAACAGGGAUUCCCCUAGUAACGGCGAGUGAAGCGGGAAGAGCUCAAAUUUGAAAUCGGAACGGCAAGCGCCGGAUCUGAAUUGUAGUUUGAUGAGGCGUGUCUUGCGGCAGGUCCAGGUCCAAAUCCCUUGGAAUGGGGUACCAUGGAGGGUGAAAGUCCCGUCUAUGGCCUGCGAGAACCGGCUGUGUUGUAGCGCGUCCUCGGAGAGUCGGGUUGUUUGGGAAUGCAGCCCAAAGCGGGUGGUAAACUCCAUCUAAGGCUAAAUACUGGCGAGAGACCGAUAGCGAACAAGUACCGUGAGGGAAAGUUGAAAAGCACUCUGAAGAGAGAGUCAAACAGUACGUGAAAUUGUCAACAGGGAAACGAUGGGCUCCAGUACGUGUCCGGGUGGAAUCAGGCGUGUGCGGGGGCUGGUGUGCGCGGGGUGGUCAGCUGCUAGCGCGGCGACGCCCCGUGUGCGUGAUCCGGCUUCGGCGGCGCUGUACUUUGGCCCGGACAGGUCAACAUCAGUUGCGACUGCGUGCAAGAACGGACCCGGGACGGUAGCCAUGCGCUUUGCGGUGCGUGGCACUUAUAGCCCGGGCUGCGGCGGUGCGUGCGCGACUGAGGCAGCAGAGAGGAUCGACGCGUCAAUGCCAGGGCUUCCUUGCGGAGCACUGGUGGAUGCAGGUCGGCCGUGGCAGGGUGUGGGCGCGCGAGCAAGACAGCCUGGCUGAUUUGUUCGUUGCUGCCUGCACCCUCUCAUGUCGCGGUGCGGACACUAGCUCGGUCACUGACGGUUGACGAAAUGGAGUUCAACGACCCGUCUUGAAACACGGACCAAGGAGUCUAACAUGGGGUGCGAGUGUUUGGGCGUGGAAAACCCGGACGCGGAAUGAAAGUGAGCUCAUUGUAGCUGGGCAGGACGUUGGUGUGGCUCGCGAUCUCUUUUGGUUGCGGCGCCCGACUGCACUGUCGACCGACCGUUGGUUCGCGUGACCUUCGGAUUGCGUCUGAGCAUCCCUGUUGGGACCCGAAAGAUGGUGAACUAUGCUUGAGUAGGACGAAGCCAGAGGAAACUCUGGUGGAGGUCCGUAGCGGUUCUGACGUGCAAAUCGAUCGUCAAACUUGAGUAUAGGGGCGAAAGACUAAUCGAACCAUCUAGUAGCUGGUUCCCGC
rnacentral:misc_RNA from 1 species